rnacentral:rRNA from 1 species
UUGGAGGGCAAGUCUGGUGCCAGCAGCCGCGGUAGUUCCAGCUCCAAUAGCGUAUAUUAAAGUUGUUGCAGUUAAAAAGCUCGUAGUUGAAUUUCGGGGUUCUACCGUUGGUCGGGCUUUGUCUGUACUGGCGUGUAGAAUUUCUACCUUCUGGGGAACUAUCAUGUUAUUAAUUUAGCGUGGUAGGAAACCAGGACCUUUACCUUGAAAAAAUUAGACUGUUCAAAGCAGGCUUAUGUCUGAAUACAUUAGCAUGGAAUAAUAAAAUAGGACGGUGGUCCUGUUUUGUUGGUUUCUGAAUCACCGUAAUGAUUAAUAGGGAUAGUUGGGGGCAUUAGUAUUCAAUUGUCAGAGGUGAAAUUCUUGGAUUUAUUGAAGACUAACUACUGCGAAAGCAUUUGCCAAGGAUGUUUUCAUUAAUCAAGAACGAAAGUUAGGGGAUCGAAGACGAUCAGAUACCGUCGUAGUCUUAACCAUAAACUAUGCCGACUAGGGAUCGGACGAUGUUAACUUUUCUUGACUCGUUCGGCACCUUACGGGAAAC